UACGUAGGGACCAAGCGUUGUUCGGAUUUACUGGGCGUAAAGGGCGCGUAGGCGGCUUGACAAGUCACUUGUGAAAUCUCCGGGCCUAACUCGGAACGGCCAAGUGAAACUGUCAUGCUAGAGUGCAGAAGGGGCAAUCGGAAUUCUUGGUGUAGCGGUGAAAUGCGUAGAUAUCAAGAGGAACACCUGAGGUGAAGACGGGUUGCUGGGCUGACACUGACGCUGAGGCGCGAAAGCCAGGGGAGCAAACGGG
rnacentral:rRNA from 1 species